AGUGAACGCUGGCGGUAGGCCUAACACAUGCAAGUCGAACGGCAGCACAGGAGAGCUUGCUCUCUGGGUGGCGAGUGGCGGACGGGUGAGGAAUACAUCGGAAUCUACUCUGUCGUGGGGGAUAACGUAGGGAAACUUACGCUAAUACCGCAUACGACCUACGGGUGAAAGCAGGGGACCUUAGGGCCUUGCGCGAUUGAAUGAGCCGAUGUCGGAUUAGCUAGUUGGCGGGGUAAAGGCCCACCAAGGCGACGAUCCGUAGCUGGUCUGAGAGGAUGAUCAGCCACACUGGAACUGAGACACGGUCCAGACUCCUACGGUAGGCAGCAGUGGGGAAUAUUGGACAAUGGGCGCAAGCCUGAUCCAGCCAUACCGCGUGGGUGAAGAAGGCCUUCGGGUUGUAAAGCCCUUUUGUUGGGAAAGAAAUCCAGCUGGCUAAUACCCGGUUGGGAUGACGGUACCCAAAGAAUAAGCACCGGCUAACUUCGUGCCAGCCGCCGCAGUAA
rnacentral:rRNA from 1 species